ensembl:lncRNA
CGGGUUUUUUAAGCACUAUCCCAACAGAAGAAGCUGCCAGAUAACAUGGUGAAUCCAGUUGCUGGGAUAAGAAAGACACUGUCACAUUUUUGCUCCUUCAUACCCUUAAAUUCCAAUUGAUCAUCACUGUUCAUCAUCUGCUCUUCUCCUGUGUCAGUCCCCUUGGGUGGGUAAAGCUUCCUCCCACUGUGUCCUCUCUAUUCAGAGAAUCACAGAAUCGUGGGAUGGAUCAGGUUGGAAGAGACCUUAAAUAUCAUCCAGUUCCAACCCCCUGCCAAUUAUUCAUUGGCUCUUCUAAGCCAUGAUCAGACUGUAGUCUAGAAAGAAUAAAGAAGGGCAGAAAAAUACAUCUAUUCAGAGGAUCUCUUAACUGCAGAGAACUGAGCUGAUUCCCCACAUCCCAUUCCCUUUGUCCUUCUGGUCCCUCCUGUCCCCCUGCUGCCAUCACACCCUGCUCUGCCAAGGCUUCCCUGGAGGACUGUGUGCAGUGUUAGCUGUGUUCUCACCUGCUGAGUAAUAUCAUCACUGCAAUUAGAAGGGGGAAGGAACGCAAGAAAGAAAAGAAAUCUCAGAGUGUGCAGGGAUGAUGAUGGGGCUUUGUGAUUUCUCGUUGCUUUCUUUUACCUGAUCAGUGGGAAAUAGAAACACACGUACACAGAUUCUCAUGGCCUCCUAUUUUUCAAAUUGUGCUCUCCACAGACAGAAUACUAAAAGCAUCAUCAUUUGAUGCUAUAAGCAGCAGAAAACUAUUUGACAUUUUUCAUUGUGAAUAUCAAGAUUGUUUUCUUGCCGCUGCAAAUCCCCCAGGAUAUAUUAUGCUUGGUUAUCUCUGCUCAACACAUUUCACAGGGGAACGUAUUAUAAGAGAGGCAAGAUUGACAAAAAUAAAAAUUCACUUGAAUGCAGAAAGCAAAUCCAUGUCUUGUUUGGCAGGCACUGGCAAGUGAUACUUAAACAGCUCCUCGUGCUUAUCACACACAUGGCACUUCAGUUGAGGAAAGGGCUGCCUGGCGGGCUGGAGGAGGAGCUGCACAUCGCCCGACUGAUCCCAUCAGCUCUGAAGUUAUGCUGGGUGAAAGGGAAGGAAAACCUGAGCUAAGAGGCCAUGCACCCUGCUCACCCAGCACUGCAGGGCGCAUUGCACUGAGUGAGCACAGCGUGCUUCGUUAGGAGGCCUCCUCGUAAGGUAUUAAUUAUUAUUUAGACUCAAUACCAGACAGCAAGAUUUAAUCAGACGCCGUUGUGAAAGGGCAGUGAGGGAACACUCCAGCGAGGAGCAGCACAUCACUGCAGGCAUUAUGAAGCUGUGCCGUGGUUUUAACUCCUCGUUUUGCCACAUUUGUUGACACUCUGCUUUUGUUUCUGCUUUGCUUCCCCCUCUCCUUGCUGAUCGCUGCGCCUCAGGCUGGGGCACUGCACUUGGGGUCUCGUGAGAGGUGGGAAGGAGAGGAGAAAUUGAGGUCUUUUGCUGGAGGACACGUGGGCUGUGCUGUGUCCACCCACAGUGCAAAAUGGAUACAAACUGACAAGAUUUUCACGUGUAAGAUCUCGAAUAUGCAGAAAAUACAGAGACCCUGUACCAAAUAAUGACCCCGGAAGAGAGGGAGAGGCAUCAGGUGCCUGAUCCUAAAUCAAAUCUGAUCCCCAAGGAAAGAAAUUCCUGCUUAACAGUCCCAUGCCUUGUGCCGUUACUUUUGUGUGCUCUGUGUCCUCUCCCAUGGUCUGUAUCACGUCCUUAAGCUCUCACUUGGGUUUGCACCAAAUGGAUAAGUCAUACCUACCAGUGCAAGAUGGGUUCAGAACCAAACAGGGGAGAUACUUUGUGAAUAUUUCGUCACUUUGUAACUGAGGUCAAACAGAGGAAUCCUGAAAAGUCACAAAGUAUGUACUGCAUCAAGCAGGGGGUGAUAGAAAGCAUGAGUGCAAAGCUCUGCUGGUGGAUGGGCUCGUGUUGCAGCUCUGGUACCACGAUGUGCUUAAAAGCCUGCAGGAGCCGCCAACCCCUUUGAAUCAGAAGAGCUGCCAUUAACACAAGGAAGGAGUUCCAGCAUUGUCAUGGUCUUCCUCUUCUCCAUUUCAUGAGCAUCUUCACAGUGUAAGAUGAUAGCUUAUUGAAAUCUGGAAACUAAUGAAUAGAGUAUAAUAAACCUAAAUGAUAUUAGUUAUUAACCACAUUACACACGCACUUGAUCCCUGCCUAGCCUUGUGCAAGCAAUGUGGAGAAAGCUGAUGUGUACAGUUUAAUUAGACUUGAUCUUCUGGUUGUCAAAGAAAUAGAAAUUUGCCAUGCCAUAAAUCAUCCAAUUCUUUCUUCUUUAUCUUCCUUUGUAUUUUCAUUUGCUAUUAACCGAGUUUUAAAUUCUGAUUCCAAUGUAAUGUGCUUCCUAAGUAGCAUUAGAGCUGAAUCUAAACCAAACAUUAUCUGAUUAAAUCUUGACCCAAAUGAGUUUGCCUACUUUCUGUGCUUCUAAAUACAUAUUUACCAUAUGUUGCCUCAUAUGCUGCUUUUCUUUUUUACUGAUGCUUUUGUCCAAAUGUUAUAGUAAUCAUAUGUUGCUUUUAGUCACGGGUAAAACAAAGUUUCACGUUUGUAACCACUUCUGCAG